UAGGGAAUUAAGUCAAUUUCGUGCCGUUCUCUUUUUGUUUUCAAAUUCAACCCCCUCAACCGAAACUCUCGUGUUUGUUUCGCUUUGAUUUUUUUCUACGAAUUUUAUGCCAUCGUUAUUACCGUAGUCACAUGGCGACAGACCCACUCAGCUUUUAUUGGGGCAGUAAUAUUUAGUAAUGAAGAGCAAAGCAGAUGCAGGCACCGAAACACAGGACUCUUCUUCGAAAUGGUGACAAGCUUAAACGCAGAAACUUUGUUAUAUAUUUUGUCCCAUAAAUCCUUGCGCCGGAAAUCUCACACAUGACGGCGGCCAGAACGCUAACAAGAACAACCGGCUUUCCAGCAGCAGACUCGCCAGCCACAACCUUCUUUGUCAUCAUCAAAAAUGCCAAGAGAAGCGAAAACCACCCCGAAAGCAACAAUGACAACUCCAAUGAAUGGCGACAAAUCAGUUAGCUAAAUGUUGCCGAGCCAGGCGUGCGUGCGAUUUGACCGCAGUUUGUGUGAUUCCAUCAUCGAAAAACCAUGCAGAAGGCGAAGGACAAAAGAUCCAGGACAUAAUUGAAAGCGAAAGGCGGCGUGGAGAGCUCUGUCGAGCGGGAGGAGGUGAAACAUAACUGAAAAUAAUUUUCCAACAUAAAUCCAGGCACGCCAAGUUAUUACAGUAAUUUCGUGAUAAAUGUCCGAUAAAUAAAUGUAUAAGUAGAAGUCCUGUUCGUCGAAAAGCCGGCAUACAUGUCUAAUAAAGUAGCAGCAGAAAUCAUGCUGUGCUAAAACAGCCCACAGUGCGUAUGCGCUAUGCUUGAUGUCCCAUGUCUAACUGGAUUAAUGAGAUGUUAUUGAACUCUUUUCACCGAAAAUGCUCGCUAUUUGCCCAUUCCAUGGUCGUAAAUAUUCAAAAAUAACAAUGGAUAAUCAGCCAAAGGUCUAUACGAGUAGUCCUCACACAAGCAUAAAUCAAAUUAUUUUCUAUUUAAUUUUGGGAUUUCUUGCGCUGACAAAAACCAAAAGCCGUGAGGCUUAGUUCUCGGCUCCUGAAAUGUUGAGCCAUGCCCACCAUGGACAUCUGACAUGAUUACGAGCGGCGCGUGUUGCUACGAUUGGAUGUACGUAUAUAUUUAGCAUGAAAUAACCCAAUGUUUUUGGAUGGGCACACUUUAUGGGCUUAGUAUGCAAAGCUUGGUGCGUGAAAUUUCGGCUUCAAAUGUUUUUUGAUAUUUUCGCAAAAGCACAAAAAUUACUUGUCGGAAAUACAUACAAGGCAUAGCCAAAUGUCAGAAAUAUGGAGCGGAUGCCAAUCUACAGUUUUCGGGAAUCUCAGACAGCAUCUCAAGCAAUUUAUGUUAAACAAGUGACAGACGGAGCGGCGUUAAACGGGGCAUGUUUUAAUGGGCUAAGACUGGAAAAACGUGAACGCGGGCUGGGGGUGAUUUUUAACGCGCAAUUGAAGUUUACAGCCGUCCGAAAAUGCGAAAAUGCGUUGUCUUGUCUGUUUUUCACGCUCGUCUGUCCUGGCUGUCCUGGCGAGAUGGAAACAACCGCAAAACAAAACUUUGCAAUUUGCUGCGAGUACAAAUUGGAAAAUCUCCCUCCAGACGGAAGGGGAGUGGUGUCCAGACAAUGCGCACUUAAUGCGCGGCCACGAGCCGAUCCGCUCUUUAAUUGUUGAUUAUACAAAUUGUUUGAAGCCUGCCCAUGGACAAUCGCGUCCAACGAGCCCAUGGUCCGUAGUCCGUGGUCCGUUGCAAGGCCAUAAAAUAUUCAAGUUGAAGAGUUUUCCACGACGGGCACGCACUAAAAACCACAAAUGGUAGAUGAGCAUCCUGCUGGGGAGGUGAAUCCUUCGGUGGAGCCGACAUGGGCAGCAUGCUUGUUGUCAUCCGAGCUGGCCACAUAAAAGUGUAAUUAAGUUCGCGUGUCGCACAUUUAAUUGUUUUUUAAUGAAUGAGGGAGCAAAAAUCAUUGUACACAUCAGCUGCAUUUCACACGCAUCCGUCCUGGUGGCAAAAGGCGAUACCUUCAGGACUCGAUGCAUUUUCGAUGGUUUUUUUCUGCCCUGCCCUGCACUGGUAACCGUGCGAAAAAUUGUAUUUUUCCCGGCGCCAAAAAUUUAAUUAUUUCCGUUUCUCUGAUUUGUUUGAGGCUCAA
rnacentral:sRNA from 1 species